ensembl:lncRNA
CGUUUCAAGUAAGCUCAAGAGGUUUUAAGAACAUUCAGAAUGUCUAUUCAACGAUGGGAUCAAGUUCUAUUGUUUUAUAUUCAAAUUUAGACUUUAGUUAAUAUUUUGGUCUGCCCUUGUAAUUGAAUUUACUGUAAAAUCAAAGCUGAGGUUUUUGGCUUGUCACACCAUAGUUUGUGCAGAUAUUUAUUUGCUGUCACCUACUUAAACAUUUAUUUUUAUUUUUAAUCAAAUCAAAUUUUAUUUGUCACAUACACAUGGUUAGCAGAUGUUAAUGCGAGUGUAGCGAAAUGCUUGUGCCUCUAGUUCCGACAAUGCAGUAAUAUCCAAUGAGUAAUCUAACCUAACAAUUUCACAACAAUUACCUUAUACACACAAGUGUAAAGGAAUGAAUAAGAAUAUGUACAUAAAAAAAUAUAUGAGUGAUAGCCGAACGGCAUAGGCAAGAUGCAGUGGAUGGUAUGGCAGUGUACAGUAUAUACAUAUGACAGAGAUGAGUAAUGUAGGGUAUGUAAACAUAUAAAAGUGGCAUUGUUUAAAGUGGCUAGUGAUAAAUAAAAUCAAGACGGCAAGAUGCAGUAGAUGGUAUAGAGUAGAGUAUAUACAUAUGAGAUGAGUAAUGUAGGGUAUGUAAACAUUAUAUGAAGUGGCAUUGUUUAAAGUGGCUAGUGAUACAUUUAUUACAUAAUUUUUUUCAUUGUUAAAGUGGCUAGAGUUGAGUCAGUAUUUUGGCAGCAGCCACUCAUUGUUAGUGAUGGCUGUUUAACAGUCUUGUGGACUUGAGAUAGAAGCUGUUUUUCAGUCUCUUGGUCCCUGCUUUGAUGCACCUGUACUGACCUCGCCUUCUGGAUGAUAGCAGGGUGAACAGGCAGUGGCUCGGGUGGUUGUUGUCCUUGAUGAUUUUUUUUGGGCCUUCCUGUGACAUCGGGUGGUGUAGGUGUCCUGGAGGGCAGGUAGUUUGCCCCCGGUGAUGCGUUGUGCAGACCUCACUACCCUCUGGAGAGCCUUACGGUUAUGGGCGGAGCAGUUGCCGUACCAGGCGGUGAUACAGCCCGACAGGAUGCUCUCGAUUGUGCAUCUGUAAAAGUUUGUGAGUGUUUUUGGUGACAAGCCAAAUUUCUUCAGCCUCCUGAGGUUGAAGAGGCGCUGCUGCGCCUUCUUCACCACGCUGUCUGUGAGGUUGGACCAUUUCAGUUUGUCCGUGAUCUGUACGCUGAGGAACUUAAAACUUUCUACCCUCUCCACUACUGUCCCGUCGAUGUGGAUAGGGGGUGCUCCCUCUGCUGUUUCCUGAAGUCCACAAUCAUCUCCUUUGUUUUGUUGACGUUGAGUGUGAGGUUAUUUUCCUGACACCACACUCCGAGGGCCCUCACCUCCUCCCUGUAGGCCAUCUCGUCAUUGUUAGUAAUCAAGCCUACCACUGUAGUGUUGUCUGCAAACUUGAUGAUUGAGUUGGAGGCGUGCAUGGCCACGCAGUCAUGGGUGAACAGGGAGUACAGGAGAGGGCUCAGAACCCACCCUUGUGUGGCCCCAGUGUUGAGGAUGAGCGGGGUGGAGAUUGUUACCUACCCUCACUACCUGGGGGGCGGCCCGUCAGGAAGUCCAGGACCCAGUUGCACAAGGCGGGGUCGAGACCCAGGGUCUCGAGCUUGAUGACGAGUUUGGAGGGUACUAUGGUGUUAAAUGCUGAGCUGUAGUCGAUGAACAGCAUUCUCACAUGUGUAGUCCUCUUGUCCGUGAUGGGUUAGGGCAGUGUGCAGUGUGAUUGCGAUUGCGUCGUCUGUGGACCUAUUGGGGCAGUAAGCAAAUUGGAGUGGGUCUAGGGUGUCAAAUUGGAGUGGGUCUAGGGUGUCAGGUGGAGGUAAUAUGGUCCUUAACUAGUCUCUCAAAGCACUUCAUGAUGACGGAAGUGAGUGCUAUGGGGCGGUAGUCAUUUAGCUCAGUUACCUUCGCUUUCUUGGGAACAGGAACAAUGGUGGCCCUCUUGAAGCCCUAUGUGCGUUUUAAUAGAUUCAUUAUAUAAUAUUCUUAAUUGAAUCCUUUUCCCAUUUUUGUGUUUUCAAAAAAGCAAUACUUCAUCGAGAAAUUAACAUCCUCCUAGCUGACUUAGAAUACCCUGAGUGUUCAAAUCCUGCUGUGCCUGGUGCAUCACAUAGUUGGAGUGUGAGGAAGGAACUCUCACAGGAUAGGUCGAUGGAGUCCAGGCCUGAGAUGGUAGAUUCUCUGCCGGCUGCAGAGCAUGCUUCUCAGAAGAUCUUUCAGUCAUGCAAUGUGAAAAGGGCUAUUCUGCGAUGUAGAGAUUGUCUGCCGGAACAGCUUUACUGCGAAGACUACGAUGUCUCUACACAUGCAAAGUCCCCCCUGCGCAACAGACAGUCCAUGUUGGAGGGAACACGCCCCUUCCUCCAACUACAGACAUCUCUCCACAGUGAUAGCAAAUAUGCACUUCAUGAACAGGGUGUGUUUUAUUUAUUUUUGCAUCUGAAUGUAUUAUAUCAAAGUUCAAAUGUAUUCUUGUUUAUUGUUGUAUAUAAAUAUUGUCCCUAGAUAGUUUUUUUUUACCAUUGGACGUACCAGAGGUGAUAUGUGGUUGCCUGACAAGCACCAUCCAUGUUGGCCUUGGGACACAUAUAAUCCUCAUAGGAAUAAAUGGUAUGUGUAAUAUCUACAAGAACCAAACAGUGAUGUAGCAAUGCAAUGUAAAACAACAUUAAUUAAGACUACAUUUUUUUCCUCAAGGUCGCUACAAUGUCACAGUGCCUGUGCUGACCUGCACAACCUGUCUUAGCACCUGGACAGCAAACUUAGCAGAUCUGAUAAAGAAUGGGCACUGGCCUGCCACUGUCAACUGUGACACCAUUUACCAGGUAGACCUGUUCAGCUCUUUUGAGGAGCUGAAAGUGUCAGCCCCAGGAAUGUCCCGUCUGGCAUUUAUGCGGAUUUUGGAGCAGCGAACUGACUUCUUUGGCAGGAACGGAAUGAUCUGUGGGGACACUUUUCAAAAAAGCUUCUUUGAGUGGACGUACUGCCGCUCUGAAAUUGAUCAGGUCUGUGAUAUACAGUACUUUGACUGCCUAGCCUGUUCACUCAUGCUUGCAGUGUCAGUGGACGGGAACAAGAAGCUGUAUCGUUUCAAAAAAGGGACUGAUGACAAAGGAUUCUUUGAUGGCGUAUUUAUCUGCAAGGAUAAGGAUGUCUGACUUUGUGAACUAUGUCCAUACAAAGACUAAACAUGGUUAUGGAAAAGGGGUAUGUGGAGCAUCCCAGUGGACAGCAGCUAAAGAGUCGUCAAGGAAAACAAACGACAACCUUGAUGAAGAGGGACUUGAAGUUGCCAUCUGCCGCCAUGGAAUACUUCUAAGGAGCCUCAACAUGAUGCGUGGAGAGAUAUUUGCAUACCCACUGUUCUUGCAGAAGGAAUUGUCUGGUAGCAGGAACAUACAAUUCAUGUGUACAGAUGUGAUCUGCAAAUUUUGGCCAUAACUGACCAGGGUUGCUCUUCAUUGUCCAGAGCUCGCCACUCGUCUAGACAUGAAGCCACUUCUUUCUGUCUGUCGUGCAUGCUAGAUUAAGUGGGGAGGACGGAAUCGGCAAGGAGCUGGCACAACUCUGGCGGAGGAAGUGAAACAAGGGAACAGCUUCUUGUCGAGGGCUGCAGACUGUCGGCGGUCGACGUCACUGGUCUUCUAGCCAAUACACUUUUCCUUUUCCAUUUGUUUUGUCUUGUCUUCCAUUACACCUGGUUUCAAUCUCAUCAAUUACAUGUUGUGUAUUUAACCCUCUGUUCCCCACAUAUCCUUGUCCGGUAUUGUUGAUUGUAAGAGUUUGUGCACAUUAUGUCUGGCAUGCGAAGGGUUUUGUCCCAUUGUAUUUAUUUAUUUGUGUUUGUUCACAGUGAUAUUAUUAUUAAACUGCACCCUUGUAACAUAGUUUUUGCUCUCCUGCGCCUCACUUCUCUGCCGCCAGUACGCACACAUUACAGGAAUAAGGAAUUCUAUUUGGCUUUUCUAGCAAGAACAGACAUGCUAACCAUCCAUGCCAUGGAACAGAAGGAAGAAGAACAGCCUGCACAGAGUAUUUUCCAGAAGAUACUUGAAGGUGUAUUGUGUGGAUCAAUACAUGUAUUUUAGAAGUAUUAUAUCUAUGCAUUUAAUUUAUUAUAAAAAAUACAUAUAUUCAGCAAAAAUCCAGGAGGAGACCCAGACUCUCGAAAAGUUUAAGAGUGAUUUGGGUGUAGGCAAUGAGACUGUACAACUGGACAACGGAAGUUCAGCAAUGGGCCAAUACAGGUAAAUGAAUACAAAAACUAAAUAAUCCUAAACGUAACUCUCCUGAACUGUCACCUUAACGUAGUGGAGAGGCUUGCGUACUCCAAUGACCCUGAGACCUAAACCCUUACAGGGUGUUUUCCACCGGCAGGUGCAAUCAAGCCGGACAGGUGGAAGGGUAGGAGGCAGACAAAACAUUCACUGGUUCUCCAGGUUGGGGAUCACUCACCCCCCACAUAACAAAUAAUUUGUUACAGAAACCUUCACGGGCCCUAUGUUCCUCCAGGAAGUGAGUGCAACUACUCACCGUUGGAGAUACGUUGUUAAUUUAUAGAUGUAUUGUAUUUCAGAGGAAACAAAUGAGAACAUGGAUGGUCCCCAGGUACUACAGAGAACAAUUGAAGUCCUUUUUCUUAGCAUCAAACAGACAGAUGGAUGCAAGAAAAGACACCCUCUGCGCAGAAAGAUAUUGGAAGAAAAGGCCAAAUUGGCAGCUGCCAUAGAGGAGUACAACACCCUUGUACCAGAUUUAGUAAUACCAUCUGCAGAUGAGAUCCUUUCCGCAGACCUUCAUGCAUGGCCUUGGGAGCUGCAUGGACAAACUGACCUACACACAAAGAAAAUAGCCUUUGACCGUGUGAUGCUUCUGAGACUGCUGAAGGAGGAGGAGUUAAUUGUCCUAAAGGAAGUCAAGCAGCACUGGGAAAGCCUAAAGAGGGAAUCGGAGAAUGUGCAAGACCUUGCUUCACAUGUGGCUCUUGACCUAAGCCGGGCAAAGUAGGGGUACUUUCAUUAAUAUGUACAAUUGAUGAUGGCACCCUGUAAGCCUAUUUCUCAGGCCCAGAAGCUAGAAUAUGCAUAUAAUUGGCAGAUUAGGAUAGAAAACACUCGACAUUUUCCAAAACUGUCAAAAUAUUGUCUGUGAGUAUAACAGAACUGAUAUUGCAGGUGAAAACCUGAGGAAAAUCCAACCAGGAAACCUCUCUGUUCCAUUGCAGGCCUGUCCUCCAUUUAAAGGGAUAUCAACCAGAUUCCUUUCCUUAUAGCUUCCACAAGGUGUGAACAGUCUUUAGACAUAGUUUCAAGCUUUUAUUCUGAAAAAUGAGCGAGAAUGAUCACAUUGCGUUAGUGGAUAGCUGUGUGUCCCCAGAGUUUUGCAUGCGCGAGCAACUUGGACCAGACAUUUUCUCUCUCUCUCCUAUUGAAAAGGCUACGGCCUGGUUGAAAUGUUAUCAAUUAUUUUUGUAAAAACAACCUGAGGAUUGAUUAUAAAAAACAUUUGACAUGUUUCUACGAACUUUACCGAUACUAUUUGGAAUUUUCGUCUGCCCGUCAUGACCUGCACGAGCCUGUGGAUUACUCAACAAAACACGCCAACCAAAUGGAGGUUUUUGGAUAUAAAAAUAAUCUUUAUCGAACUAAACUAACAUUUAUUGUGUAACUGGGAGUCUCGUAAGUGCAAGUACAUCCGAAGAGCAUCAAAGGUAAGCAAUUCAUUUUAUUGCUUUUCUGACUUUCGUGACCAAUCUACUUUGCCGCUCGUCUGUUACUGCUUUUACUGUCUGUUACUGUUACAUGACCAGGUCCGAUGCACCCCUUUAAAUGGACAAUCUACAGUUGAUACAUCCACUUUUGGAUUCUUGAAGAAUAUAAUAUAUGAAUGCCUCAUGAACAUAAUUCAACUGCCGUACCCCAUCAGAUCCCAAGAUAUAUAUUUUUUUCUACUCCAAUUUUUGUAAACAAAGUAAAUGUAAACAUACACUUGCAUGUGUUAAACUCAUUCCACGGGUGAGCUGAGUGUCUGCAGGUUUUCGCUCCUCCCAUGAUUCACUAAUUAGUAAGGAACUCCCCUCACCUGGUUGUCUAGGUCUGAAUUGAAAGGAAAAAACAAAAACCAGCAGACAAAUCAAAUCAAAUGUUAUUUGUCACAUACACAUGGUUAGCAGAUGUUAAUGCGAGUGUAGCGAAAUGCUUGUAGGGGGAACUAUGCCCUCCGUGGAAUGAAAUUGACACCACUGGACUAUAGCCUGAAACAUGGUUUAAACUAUGGUUCCAUUUCUCCAUCCCCAUCCCUCUGCUUUUUACAGAACCAUUGGCGGGAGAACAAUUUAUUGUUUCACCUGGUGAUUUCCAAUUUAAACAUUGUUAAACUGUAAUGUACUGUUCUUGUGUGUGCUUAUUAGUUUAGAAUAGAUAGAAAACUAAAAAAGGUUAUCCUUGUCUUCAAGUAAUAAUUUGCAUCCUGAUGGAGCUACAUCAGUACAUUAGUCGUGGACUUUUUAAGUCAAUGAUUCCUUAUGUAUGUAUGAGAUGUACAAAUGUUUAACUAGUACUGAGUACUUUGACCAGUUACUUCUUUACUCUCAAGUAGUUUUCGAGAGGGCUACUUGUACUUGAGUACAAGACCUGACUCCCAUCAGCUGCAGAUUAGGUUAGUUGAAAGAAAAUGUUGCCUAGAAUCUACAGGCACUCGCAAUUAAUCAUCAAAAGUAUGGACACAGAAUUAUUGAAGUGAUUAUUGUAUUUUGUUUUAUGCUGACCAAAUUAUGACCCAUGACAUCUUUUGGGAAGAAUAAUGCAUAGCCCUUGUGUGUUAAACUGCACACUUGGAAAUGUUCCUAUUGAAAUGGGGGUUGUCCCAUACUGAACAAGCCAGUUGCAAGUGAAAUACUCUUAACGCUACUAAUAGCAACACCGUAUUAUUAUGAAAAUUAGAUUUUUUUUUAAAUGAAACGUGUGCAGGCAGGUCUGACAUAGUGGGAGAAUUGUGAACAUGCAUGUAUAUAUAUAUCUGUGACAAUACAGUGUUUGGCCACAUCUUCGGUUUGGUCGUUCGGUCAAAGUUUGUUUUGGUUGUGCGCGUCGCAAUGCCCGUGACAUAAAAUACUUUGUUUCUGAAUUUUCUGAUUACAUUUUAAACUAUUCAUAAAUUAUUCUUGCGCAAUGUUACUUUCAUUUGAAUGUCGUAAACAUUGUUGGAUUCUAUUAAAUAAUGUAAAUGUAACAGAUAAAUUAUUACAUUACAGAAACUGGAAAAGUUGUGAACUACAAAUGUGGCACCAUUUUGUAGUUUUUUACUAACCCUAAACGGUUCGUUUUUUUAUCAAUAUCUUCACCAAUAUCAUUCUAAUUGAUGUAGAAUGAUAUGUAGAUUCAUUAGGACAUAAUGCUGUACUGCAUCAGCACAUGCCAAUUCAAUGUCUGAAAUAGUGCACUUUUUGAAAUGUGUUUUUUGUCAUAACUAUUUAAGCUUGACAUGUGUGAUUCUUUUGAUUUAAUAAGGACCCCUUACUAAACCUUCAUGUCAAAUAACGUUCGGAUAUGUUAAUCUAUUCUUGAUUUAAAAAAUCAUGGGGAAAAGUCAACUGUUGGUGGCGCUACUGAGCUCCCCAUGGCCACCAGGGGUAUGGGAUUGCAUAAUUAUGUAUAAUUCAUGCAUAGGAUUAUUUGUGCCACAAAAAAAACAAAAAAACAUAUUUUUGAGGACUCUGACCAGAGUUGACCUCUUACAAAGGUUUCCUAGGGGUGUAUAAAGAAAGGUUCAUGGCAGAAAACAAGUGUAUGUAUAGAAAUGCUUAUAUAAACAUUGUUACAUCAAUAUUGAUGCUUCUAGAAGUUCAAUAAUAGACAUUCAACAGUCUAUAUGUGGCUUAUGCCCAUGACCCACAUGGCCUUAUAACCACACCUCUAUUGCCAUGGUCCUCGGCACAUCAUAUUCCUGAUAAGCAACAACGAUGAAAAUUAAUUCUCACUGCCUAUUCAAAAACAAUCAGUUGUGAAAUGAUUUGGCUUUCACCUUCAUUAAAUAUUUUCCGUGGACAACUAGCCUAGAGACCAAGCAGAUAGACGGUCUGCCUUUAUACGCUAAACAUGCUGCAUGCCAAUAUGACUCAGGGGUAGGCCUAUAUCCAACAGAAAAAAUGCAGGUAAAGUAAUAUAUGUAAUAGCAUGAUAUAUACUGUAUAUACAGUGCCUUGCGAAAGUAUUUGCCCCCCUUGAACUUUGCGACCUUUUGCCACAUUUCAGGCUUCAAACAUAAAGAUAUAAAACAAUUUUUUUGUGAAGAAUCAACAACAAGUGGGACACAAUCAUGAAGUGGAACGACAUUUAUUGGAUAUUUCAAACUUUUUUAACAAAUCAAAAACUGAAAAAUUGGGCGUGCACCACAGACUGUCCAGGAGUUGGCGGAUGCUUUAGUCCAGGUCUGGGAGGAGAUCCCUCAGGAGACCAUCCGCCACCUCAUCAGGAGCAUGCCUAGGCGUUGUAGGGAGGUCAUACAGGCAAGUGGAGGCCACACACACUACUGAGCCUCAUUUUGACUUGUUUUAAGGACAUUACAUCAAAGUUGGAUCAGCCUGUAGUGUGGUUUUCCACUUUAAUUUUGAGUGUGACUCCAAAUCCAGACCUCCAUGGGUUGCUAAAUUUGAUUUCCAUUGAUAAUUUUUGUGUGAUUUUGUUGUCAGCACAUUCAAAUAUGUAAAGAAAAAAGUACUUAAUAAGAAUAUUUCAUUCAUUCAGCUCUAGGAUGUGUUAUUUUAGUGUUCCCUUUAUUUUUUUGAGCAGUGUAUGUUUUGUUCGAUAAAAUUCAUAUUUAUAUUUAAAAAAUCUCAGUAUACAUUGGCACGUUUAUGUUCAGUAGUUCCAAAAACAUCCGGUGAUUUUGCAGAGAGCCACAUCAAUUUACAGAAAUACUCAUUAUAUAUGUUGAUGAAAAUACAAGUGUUAUGCAUGGAACUUUAGAUACACUUCUCCUUAAUUACCCACUUGCGACGAGCAAACCCGUAUCCGGGAGCGUAAUCAUAGCCUCAAGCGCAUUACCUUAAUGCAACUUUUCCUAUUCAUGAAAAUUGCAAAUGAAAUGAAAUCAAUAUAUUCAAACACAAGCUUAGCCUUUUGUUAACAACACUAUCAUCUCAGAUCUUCAAAAUAUGCGUUACAGACAACGCUAGACAAGCAUUUGUGUAAGUUUAUCAUGGCAUAAUGCUAUGCUAGGCUCUGCUGGCAGCAGGCAACAUUUUCACGAAAAUAAGAAAAGCAACCAAAUUAAAUCAUUUACCUUUGAAGAACUUCAGAUGCUUUCACUCAGGAGACUCCCAGUUAGAUAGCAAAUGUUCUAAACGGAAAAGGUCCUGUUUGGUCAUCCUGCUUGGCUGAGAAAUCGACCGAAAAAUAGUUAAACUAUAACGCCAAACUUUUUUCCAAAUUUGCUCCAUAAUAUCGACAGAAACACGGCAAACGUUGUUUAGGAUCCAUCCUCAAGGUGUUUUUAACAUAUAUAUUCGAUAAUAUAUCCGUCGAGGCAAUUGGUUUCUCAGAAGAAGCGAUUGGAAAAAUGGCUACCUCAGUAUUUUACGCAAGAUUUUCUCCGGGAGACACCAUGUGACCACUGGCUAAAUAUGGUCCCUUACAGCUAUUGUCCAAUGGAAAUGCCUAAAAAUACGUCACAGUGCUGUAGACACCUUGUGGAAUGCGUGGAAAACGUAAGCUCAUUCGUAGCUCAUUCAUAGCCAUAUGAGGAGUCAUUGGCAUGAGGCGUUUUCAAAAAAUGCGGCACUUCCUGAUUGGAUUUUUAUCUGCGUUUUGCCUGUAACAUCAGUUCUGUGGCACUCACAGACAAUAUCUUUGCAGUUUUGGAAACGUCAGAGUGUCUUCUUUCCAAAGCUGUCAAUUAUAUGCAUAGUCGAGCAUCUUUUCCUGACAAAAUAUCUUGUUUAAAACGGGAACCUUUUUCAUCCAAAAAUGAAAUACUGCCCCCAGAGUUUCAAGAGGUUGAUGCAACCGCUGUGUCAGUUUCCAGAAAAGCUUUACGAAAAAAGCCAACCAUGCUUUUUUUUGAGUACAGCGCUCAGAGACUGUUAGGAAUAUUAUGAUUAAAUGACUGAACAAUAUUCUCAUUUUAAAUGGAACUGUAACUAAGUAAACUUAUACUCUGUUUUAUUAUAUCUGAUUAACAAUAUGAGUUCAUAAGAAGGGAUUGUGUGACACGGACAAGGAGUAAUUAAAGUUCAUGAACACCAUUCCAACUAGUCAGAAAGGAACGAGUUGUGGAUUAAGUAAGCAGAUAAGGUAGUUAACCUAUGGUUGAAACAAUGAAACUUAGCUCUGGGGUGUUUUAGAUAAGACAGUGAGUGCAUUCCUAGGUUUUCUGUUAAUUAGAACUGUCAGCUAAGUGGUGAUCGAUAAUGGUGAGGAGUCAAAAGUUAAUUCAGAUGUGUUGUGUGUCCUGUGUAUGUGCUAGUGGGUCAGAAUGAACUUUGAAUGAACUUUUAAAGUUCCCUUCGUCUCGGUCGAGAGGAGGAGAUUCAUUUUAGAAGCAAUGAAAUGACGUUAUGUUAUUGUAUAUAAACUGUUGCUCGUGGUAACGUGGCAGCGCGCUCCGAGAAUAAAUACUUUUAUCUAUUAUCGAUAAGACUGGUCUUCGUCUAUUUUAUGCAAACAAGAAUCUUACAAACGCUCAUAAAAUAGAUUAAGGGAAUUCAAUUAAUGAAAACAUAUUGGAAUAAUUAAAUUACAUUAACAGAGACCAAACAAGCAAAAAAGAUAUCCGCCAUAUUGUGCAGUCAAUAUUAGUCAGAAAUAGCAUUAUAAAUAGUUACUUACCUUUGAUGGUCUUCAUCAGAAUGAACUCCCAGGAAUCCCAGUUCCACAAUAAAUGUUUGUUUUGUUCGAUAAUGUCCAUCAUUUAUGUCCAAAUAGCUACUUUUGUUAGCGCAUUUUGUAAACAAGUCACGAAAUGCGUUCACUAGGAGCAGACAAAAUGUCAAAAAGUUCCGAUACAGUCUGUAGAAACAUGUCAAACGAUAUAUAGAGUCAAUCUUUAGGAUGUUUUUAACAUAAAUCUUCAAUAAUGUUCCAACUGGAGAAUUCCUUUGUCUUCAGAAAAGCGAUGGAACGCGAGCUACCUCUCACGUGAACGAGCGUCACGAGCUCAAAGCAUUCUACCAGACUCAUUCCCCUAACAUUCACCCCCACUUUACAGUAGAAGCAUCAAACUAGGUUCUAAAGACUGUCUAGUGGAAGCCUUAGGAAGUGCGACCAAUAUCCCACUGUAUCUUCAAUAGGGAAUGAGUUGAAAAACGACCAACCUCAGAUUUCCCACUUCCUGGUUGGAUUUUUUCUCAGGUUUUUGCCUGCCAUAUGAGUUCUGUUAUACUCACAGACAUAAUUCAAACAGUUUUAGAAACGUCAGAGUGUUUUCUAUCCAAAUAAACUAAUAAUAUGCAUAUAUUAGCAACUGGGACUGAGUAGCAGGCCGUUUACUCUGGGUACCUCUGGGCACCUUAUUCAGCCAAGCUACUCAAUACUGCCCCCAGCCAUAAGAAGUUAUCGACAAUUAGUGUUGCACUAGGAUUAGCCUGUAAGUACAGUCACAGGAAUUUCAAUGUACUGCAGAUUUACCUCAUUUGAAGAUCUAUUGGCAAGAAUCUUGAAAAUAGGGAAAUCGUUUGCCCUGGAUACACUGGACACUCUGAAACAAUAAAUGCAUGUAUUUACUUAAUCACCACCCACCAGAACAUGAAUAAAGUUAGCGGGACAGUCAUUUGCAUGAUUCAUUUUACAUCUAUACUUAUACUACACUCUUAGAAAUGGUUAUUUGGCUGUCACCAUAGGAGAAGCCUUUUUGGUUUCAGGUAGAACCCUUUUGGUUCCAUGUAGAACACUUAAGACAAAGGGUUCUACAUGAAACCGAAU